GACGAACGCUGGCGGCGUGCUUAACACAUGCAAGUCGAACGGAAAGGCCCUGCGUUUGCGGGGUGCUCGAGUGGCGAACGGGUGAGUAACACGUGAGUAACCUGCCCUUGACUGUGGGAUAACUCCAGGAAACAGGGGCGAAUACCGGAGAGGAGCUACUGCUGCACGGUGGGGGUUGGAAAGAUUCGGCCGUUGGGGCUGGACUCGCGGCUUAUCAGCUUGUUGGUGGAGUAGGCGCGUACCAAGGCUUUGACGGGUAGCCGGCCUGGGAGGGUGACCGGCCACCUGACGCCUGCGGUAGGCACCAGUCUCCAACGGGCGGCAACAGUCGGAAGUAUUGCACAAUGGGCGGAAGUCUGAUACGACGGUCCCGCGAUCGGGAUGCCGGCCUUCUGGUUGUAAACCACUUUCGCAUGUACCGAGGACUGAGUGACGGUACUGGGUCAAGAAGCAACGGCUAACUACGUG
rnacentral:rRNA from 1 species